UUGCUAGUAAUCGCGAAUCAGAAUGUCGCGGUGAAUACGUUCCCGGGCCUUGUACACACCGCCCGUCACACCAUGAGAGUCGAUAACACCCGAAGCCUGUGAGCUAACCGUAAGGAGGCAGCAGUCGAAGGGUGGGGUUGAUGAUUUGGGGUGAAGUCGUAACAAGGUAAC
rnacentral:rRNA from 1 species